AAACCCUACGGGGCGCAGCAGUGGGGAAUAUUGGUCAAUGGCCGAGAGGCUGAACCAGCCAAGUCGCGUGAGGGAAGACGGCCCUACGGGUUGUAAACCUCUUUUGUCGGGGAGCAAAGAGAGUCACGUGUGACUCAUUGAGAGUACCCGAAGAAAAAGCAUCGGCUAACUACGUGCCAGCAGCCGCGGUAAUACGGAGGAUGCGAGCGUUAUCCGGAUUUAUUGGGUUUAAAGGGUGCGCAGGCGGAGGU
rnacentral:rRNA from 1 species